UACGUAGGGCGCAAGCGUUGUCCGGAAUUAUUGGGCGUAAAGAGCUCGUAGGCGGUGUGUCGCGUCGGCCGUGAAAACCUGCAGCUUAACUGUGGGCUUGCGGUCGAUACGGGCAUCACUGGAGUUCGGCAGGGGAGACUGGAAUUCCUGGUGUAGCGGUGAAAUGCGCAGAUAUCAGGAGGAACACCGGUGGCGAAGGCGGGACUCUGGGCCGAUACUGACGCUGAGGAGCGAAAGCGUGGGGAGCAAACAGG
rnacentral:rRNA from 1 species